GCGUUUGUGGGUUAGUGGUAAACUACGGCUUUGCCAAUUUUCAUUCUGAAAAUUCAAAAUAGCCGUGCCCCGGGUUCGAUUCCCGGCAGACGCA